UGGGCACUCAACCAAACAAAUUAGAAACCGGCUUUUUCACUCAAACCUGCUUUUUUGGGUUCUUGCCGCAAUGCCAAACGGGGCCACUAUCACUUGCCAUUCAUGGCAUUUUGGCAACCACUAUACCCAAAAACAUCUCCUCCAUCUCAUGUGGCCACCACAUAAUGGUUAUUCUUAGAGUAUAAUAACUAUUCUCCAUGAGUAAGGAAUUUCAUUUUGGAGUGAGUAGUUUCACUUAGGCUUGUUGGAUCCGCCUCUGCUACUGGCUGAUGGAGUUUAGUCGGUAUGGACACACCUCCAGACGUGCCUCGCCUUUAGGAGCACACUGGUAGUUACUUUUGUAGCACGGAAACACUUUCUAAGAUCUGUAGCAUAUAUACUUCCCAUAGAAUCAGGAUCUGCA
rnacentral:misc_RNA from 1 species